UAUGGAUAAUUUCCGGAAAUUAAGAAAGCUGCUUCAUCGAGGAAUUUGCAAACGAAACGCAACAAUGGCAUUUGAAAUGACACACAGCAUGUGUGUAUCCCGUAUGUCGUGUGUGAAUCGAUAGUGGUUCGUAUCCAGCGUUGCGUAAAAUGACGUCAAUUGGCGCGUAAGAAUUAUAAAUUUGCUUUCUUCUUUGGAUCUAUUUGAAGGCUAUUGGAGGCCUUAACUGUGAAAAAUGUAGAAUAUAAUUUCUAAGACAUUGUUACACACACUGGAGAUAUAGUAUGUGGGUACACAUUUAUAUUGUAGGAGAAUUGAAAUUGACUCGCAACGAUUAAUUUUUAAUUCUGUGGCUAAAGAAGUUUCGGACUGACCCAGUUUAACAGGUUACAAAAUAUCAUAACUCUUCAACGAUAACGAUCAUUCAAAUUUUCCGUUGUUUCUUAGCGAGACAUUAAAUUGAACUAAAAAAAUAACACACUGCUUUCAGAAAUCGUCUCGAAAAUCGAAUUAGCAAAGAGUUGCUUAACGCGUUUAAAUCAUAUUUUUAUCAAUUUUCCUUCUCCAUUAGAGGAUCGAAUGGUGAGUGAAACGAAAGAAGCGAGAAUAUUUUCUAUUUAUUUGUUUGCCAUUUCCACUCGCAAGCAGAUAUAAUUCCCACGUGAAGAAGCUUCACGUUAAAGGAAUUACACGUCGCGCUACGAAACGAAUUCCUCAAGUUCAAAUCAGAUUAACUUGCAUGAAAGUUACUACGAAAUGGGAAGCAUUUUAUAAAUUAUAUUUUGGCAACACUCGCCGCCGGGCAGGACAGAGGAGUCCCGAAAGAAAGUGCGCCGUACAAUUAAGAUUUUAACCACUUGCGCUGGCAACUGAUUGCGGACCAUAACGAGUGACCGAAC